GCCAGUGGUCCCGGCACACAUAUCUGGAGCUGAGUAUAUAUAUAUACAUAUAUAUAAUGUUUCUUAAGUGCCAAAUAAUUUGCGGUUAGACCAAAAAUAAUAAAAAAAUUACUGUUCUGUGCCCAAAGUGGAUUUUCCAAAAUCUAACCAGAUAUAUAGGUAAUGCAUAGCUCUAAUUUUUAUAUCUUUAAUUUUUUUUAUAUACUUAAAAAUUGUAUCAUGCCAUAUAUAUAUUAUAACAGAGCUCAACAAAUCCCAGGCACCAGGUUGCCAUAGAACAACCUGGGUGUUUGUCAAUAGUAGGAUCAGGGAGCAGCGCCUGUGAUGGAAUUCCCACGCUCAGAGUGAUAUGGAGGAGGGAAAGGAAAAAAGACACAGACACUUUGAUAAAGCCUCUUUGCAGGAGAAACGCGUUAGUGUUUUUUAAAGCUGUUUUAUGUUACUGAUUUUUUUGUUUCGAAUAAAGAUAGCCC